GUGCUCGCUUCGGCAGCACAUACACUAAAAUUGGAAUAAUACAGAGAAGAUUAGCAUGGCCCCUGUGCAAGGAUAACACGCAAAUUUGUGAAGUGUUCCAUAUUAAA